GCGAACACUCCCUGCUGCCCUGCUAAUGCCUUGUUAAGAAAGUGUUGAUUCUAUUUUGUGCUACUUUAUUGCCACUAACGCACAGCUAUUAUAUUACAAAGGACUCAGAAGAGGACAAACAACUGUAAAGCUGUGGAAAAUCUCUUCAGGGACGCUUAAUAUCUUCAGGACAGCUUAUAGUUGUCAUGAGCGGUACUUUUAUAUUACAUGCUGCUCACCACGACCCCCAGAUGAUAACCCAAGGACCACAAACCAGAAAAAGGAGCCGGAGGAUGGGAUGCUGUAGCCAGCGAGCCAGCACUUACCCCAGAGCACGCCCCUCAUUGCACAGCACUACACGGCACAGCGCACACACCACAAGCCCCGAAAGAGAAGAGCACAUUUUCGUGCACGGAGGACUGUGGUGACCGGAGUGUCUGUUUGUUUCUUUUGUUUUGAGCCUGGACCCUGCCGUGUUUUUGCCCCAAUACCAUCGCUGGUAGCGGGGCUUCUUAUUAUUUUU